rnacentral:misc_RNA from 1 species
AAGUCGUAACAAGGUUUCCGUAGGUGAACCUGCGGAAGGAUCAUUAACACGUAUCCACGUAUCAACCAACUGUGAACUUGUUUUUACUCUCCCUGCCUUUUACAUGAAUUGAAUGAAUUGAGAGAAUGAAAUGGGAAUCGCGCAAGUGAUUCAAUCUCAAUACAUAACCUGUGAGGUAACUCACUAACAAUUGUAGUAAUAUGGUCAGGUCAACCCUUUCUACUUAAGGCUUCUCCUUUCAUGAAGCUAAGAGUGGAAUAAUACUAACCUAUUUCACCCCUUUUUUGCUAGUUGACUUUUAUAUGUUGUUUUCUUCGUACUUAAUUGUAUUAAGGACUCACACGUUUUUUAAUUGAACGUUAAAUUUACAACUCUUAGCAAUGGAUAUCUUGGUUCUC